rnacentral:lncRNA from 1 species
GGGGCAGAUAAUCUCUUCAACGACAGGGACCUGGUCAGGCGGCUGAUUGACGGCUGCAUUCUGCCAGAUGUCGUAAAGAGGAUCGACCGUGCCGACCAUGAGUAGCGGGCUUGGGACACUUUGGGAUCUUUUCUUGAGGUAAGCGGGUCUUUAUUUAUACGGCUACUUGGCCUUUGUUCUCAUUCCCCAGCCGCCCUUGCAGAUUGGGCACC